UACUCCAAUGUUUGUAAGUCGCUCUGGAUAAGAGCAUCUGCUAAAUGACUUAAA
rfam:Salmo salar isolate Sally breed double haploid chromosome ssa09, whole genome shotgun sequence.